UCGACCCAAUUACAAUAACUUCCUAAUGGGAAGUUAAAUAUAUUUAAAUAACAUAACAUUUUUUCUCAUUUUAACGUCGAAAAGAAUAGUUUGACCUGAAAAUGUACUUGAAGUUCAUAAAUAUCUGUGUUAUCGCAAACAACGAUGAUUAAAAGAGCUCUGCUUGUGGAUGUAUAGUAUUUGUAUCUGAUGUCAUUAGUAUGGGAUAUAAAACGAAAAUUUACGAUGAAUGACUUUGAUUCACACAUGUUUAUACGAUUCUUGCCGAAGAGACGUACCUUUAACAACACAACAGAAUUGAUGUAUUGUUUUCCUCAGUCGAGGACUUAAGGAUCCGCGGGGCGUGUGUGAAACAGUAGUAUUCGGCAAUAGAUAAUUUCUUUGUUGUGGAAAGAUCGAGGAACAAUUCUGGGAUCGAGCAACAAUUCCAGGACAUUGAUCAGGAGCAGCGUUCGACACCGAUGUUAAAGGAUUCGAGACACUACGACCUAAAAGACGCGUGAGAGUCAUCAUAUCGCCGUGUUUAUAGAAUUUCUGAUGAUUGAAGAAAUGGAGGUGAAUAAGAUUUCAAAAAAAAUGGUCAACUUUGGAUAUAUUCAGUAGAUCGUAAUUUGAACUUAAAGAAAGUCUUUCCAAACUUGGAAUGGAUUCGAUGAUAACUACUGCGUUUCUAAACCAUAAUAAAGUUCUAUCGAGGAUACUAUCAAAAUUGAGGGAAAUGAUCAAGUUUGGGUGCAUUCAGUAGAUUUUAAUUUGGAGUUAAAAGAAAGGCUUUCCAAACGUAUAAUAGAUAUACGAUUGCCAUGGGACCAUUCAUUAGCAAGUCUUUCCAUUCGUGGAAUGAUUUGAUGAUAAUGGGUACAUCUCUAAACCUCGAUGAAGUUCCAUUGGGUAUGCUACCAAAAUGAAAAGGGAAUCGAUUAAUUUUGGAUACAUUCAGUAGAUUGUAAUUUGGUCUUAGAUAAAGUUAUUUCAAACGUGGAAUAGAUGAUAACUAGUGCCAUCGAGGAUGCUACCAAAAUUGAGGGAAAUGAUUAAAUUUGGGUGCAUUCAGUAGAUUUUAAUUAGGACUUAAAAAAAGGCUUUCCAAAUUUGGAAUAGAUGUACGAUUGCCAUGGGACCAUUGAUGAGCAAGAUUUUCCAGUCGUGGAAUGAUUCGAUGACGACGAGUGCGUUUCUAAACCUUGAUGGAGUUCCACAAUGGAGAGGAAUGGCCAAAUUGUGUAGUGUUCCAUUCAAACUGACAUUCCUUGGGCGUUUUUUUAAUAUAUCUUAAAUACUUAUUUGUAAAAGUGGAUUUAUUGGUGACUAGUUCGUUUUCAAAAUUCUAAUUUUCAUGUAAUCUAUAUCAAUUGCUAACUUACUUUUACUUAAUCUGUUGUCAAAUUUGUUGAUUUUUCUAGCUUGAAUUCGUACUAAUCAUUAACCACAUUUUAUUAAAUUGCCUUAAUCUAAUAAUACAUUCAAUUCUUCAUACUUGUAAAGUAUUUAAAAUACUGUACUCAAAUACAUAUAGAGUAUAUUUGUAAUUGCAUUUGAAAUACUUUUCAAUCAAUGAAAGUACUUAUUACUUGUAUUUAAAUGCAAAUUUUUCUUUAGUUUGAUUUUGCAAAUACUUUUUCAAAUAUUUUUUAUAAUUGUUAAUUUCUAUAUCUAUGCUUGUAGGCUGCACCGAACAUUUUCAAUGGAGACGGUGGUGGUUGCUUGGUAGUAUUCUUCUCAGUAGUUGAGGUCCAGACGCUCCUUAACUAGCUAGAAGAAUACUACGAAGCAACCACCACCGACUCCAUUGAAAAUGUUCGGCACAGUUUCGAACGAAACGUCUGGAAGAAAUACAAAUUCCACUAGAUCACGGCUUGUUAGUCCGGAAAAUCUUUAUCUUAUAAUUUUUCAGAAAGUUGUUUUACUAAAAUUAUAACAAUGUUAAUAUAUUUUCCUAUAGAAAAUCACAAGCUAAGUAUCUGAAUUUGUAUUUAAAUACUUUUA
rnacentral:lncRNA from 1 species